AAGACGUUCGCGCAUAGUUACACACUAACACAUUACUAGUUACUAAGUGAAGCCCAUCAACUAAAAUGCGCCCUACAUGCAUAGGGGGUGAUAUAGCGGUUUGUGCGCCUCAUCGAGUGCGCUACGUAGACGACAGAGAGAGUAUUUGAGACGCGGCCCAGGUUGUUAAGGCUACUUACAGGAUACCGGAGCAGGAGGUGCAGACGAAGGAGCCGUUGGUCAUGUUCGCGUAGGUCGGGCCGCGCUGGUCGCAGUCAAAACACUUUCUGUUGGGUAGUAAACUCGUCAUUUCCCUCAGCAUCUUCAGGUGUUUCUCCUCCUGUUUUCGCUUCGCACUCGCCGCCAUGGCCGGAGCCGAAAGAGUUUUAUAUACGCGGAGGUGAAGAAAAAAACUUUUUAUUCCCCAAAUAAGGGAGCGAUUCAGAUAGAAAGAGAGAGGGAGAGGAGGACAGGAGCCGGAGUUCACUCCAAGGGUGUCACGGUGUUCACGGAACGGAGGAGAGAGAGAGUGAGAGAGUAGGCAAGACGCCGCGCUCUGCUCGCCAGAGGGCGCGCUCACUGCGCAUGCGCAAAGCUUGCACCGCCCCGCAACCUAAAAAGAGUUCCAUCCUGCAGAGAACCGAGUGACCUAAUUCACAAGAACCUCAGCAACCAUCAGGCGCAAUGCAUAGUGUUCUGUCGGAGCUGUAAAUAUAUAAAAAAUGAAAUGAAUUAAUUCCUGAACAAGUUAAUUCAUAUCACUUGAUAUGUGUAUGAUUGAGUCAUACGUGCAUACAUUCAUUUCCACAAGUGGGUUCAGACAAAAUAUAGUGGAGAAACCUACUACUACUACUACUACUACUACUACUACUAUUUACUACUACUACUACCCAAAAUACUGUACAUGGUGUCCCAAAAGUCUCCAUACUCCAGAAACGCUAUAAAAUGCUAAAAUAAAAUGAAAACAAAGCUUGUGUUUGUGUACAUUCUUCUUAUUAUAUUAUCAUUCACAGAAAACAACUCUCAUACUUGCAAAAAAAAGGUCAAUUUUAAUUUUCAGUGAAGGCUAAACACUUACAUAGAUGAAUAUACUGUACAAUAUAUUAUUACAGAACACACAUCACGAUUUGGAUGACUUGUUUAUCUGGAAUAUAAACCGUAUCACCUUAACAACUGAACGUACAGCACUAAAGCUGAUCCGUCUAUUGCUUUAAUCUCUUCGUCUUCAUAAUCCUUUUACAUAUAAAAAUCCUCAAAAAAAAAAAAAAUCAAUCAAUCUGUUCAGUUUGUCUAUUCGUAAACUCCAGCACAGGCCUGGUUCAUGUAUUUAUCUUCAAAAUAAACGGUAUGAUAACAAGGCAUUCUGGGAAGGGUGUCAUGUAUUAAGAGAUGAAAAUUUAGCUUGUAAAUUAAAUGGAUGCAUGAACCAAAUUCUAUCUGACGAUCCU